rnacentral:tmRNA from 1 species
GGGGAUGAUCGGCCUAGACAAUUGAUCCACUUCUCCGAUGUGCGCUAUAAGGGUCCUUGGUACCUUCUAAUCAUCAGGGAAAUCUAAGUGCUAAAACCUUAGUUUCAAGCGUCAAGUCAACUUUGUCUCCAUAUUUUGGAGCAAAAGACUUCACGUUCGCUUACGCUAACGCCUAAGCGACGUCUCACACCGUAAAGUUUGGUCGCGGUGCUGGGGUGUAAUAAAUCCAAGCUGGAACUUGCGGCUUCUCGGCGCAAGUUUAAGAACAAGAGAAUCGGCGGUUCAUGAUUUUGCAGAUUUAACCCAUGAAUUGCCUAAACUCUCGCCUACUGGCGGGACUAAAAUCUUCUACAUAGCGUAGAAACAUCAGAAGCAUCUUUUGCACGGCGGUUCGAUUCCGCCCAUCUCCACAG